rnacentral:rRNA from 1 species
UACAGGUGCUGCAUGGCUGUCGUCAGCUCGUGUCGUGAGAUGUUCGGUUAAGUCCGCUAACGAGCGCAACCCUCGUCGUGUGUUAUACGUGUCACACGAUACUGCCGGUAUCAAGCCGGAGGAAGGUGGGGAUGAUGUCAAGUCAGCAUGGCCUUUAUAUCCUGGGCUACACACACGCUACAAUGGCAGAUACAAUAGGUUGCGAAACCGCGAGGUGGAGCCAAUCCUCAAAGUCUGUCUCAGUUCAGAUUGUAGGCUGCAACUCGCCUGCAUGAAGUUGGAGUUGCUAGUAAACGCAGGUCAGCUAUACUGCGUUGAAUACGUUCCCGGGGUUU